UGUGAGGUGGGCUGUACAAGUUGGAUCGAUGGACUCGACUCCCAGCUCCCAAUAUGUUGGAGUUGGCGUUGGAAUUUAUGGGAUUGUCUUACCCCGUAUCCGAUGCUCCUCCCGUCCUGGGCCAGAUUGUGUCUGGAGCCGCUGCUGGUCAAAGCGGGAAGUCAAUGGAGCCAUUUGACGAUGGUUUUCGGCACCCACCUACUAUCCUCAUUUGCUUUCUUUGGGCGCAUCGGGGGUUCUGGCACUUGUGCAAGGAGCAUAAUCCGUUCGAUUCUUGCGUCGGUGCGAAACCCCUUUGAGAAUGACCAUGACGUGGCUGCAUAAAGGUGCCUUCCUCAUCAGCGAGAACCUUCUUCGCCGAAAAAAAAGUGUUCCACGAAUACAUCUCCACAUCGAUCGCGGUGCUGCCUGGAGUGUCGGAGGAUCGAAAGGUAUAAACAUCGAGGCGGGAAUGAGAACAUUUUCGAGGUACUGGAUCUAAUUCUGGAGGCCGGAACGAGCAGUGGACUAGUCACGGUGGAUACAACUAGUUUAAUAUUAUUCUACCGAGGCAUUGGGUGACAUCUCUGUGUGAUCCUCCGCUCUUCAAGAGCCUUCUUCCCCCUUCAAGAUCCUUCCCCGAUGCUUGCACUGCCGGUUUGCAGAUAGGUUCAUCCUCCAUCUGAUUCGGCCAAAGAGAUUAUCCUUAGGUGCCGGUAGUCCUAGAUGCAUUCCGCCGUGAACUGUCGAAUAUGAAGAUGAGACCUCGACUAUCAAUUUUUGUGCAGGCCGACUGAUCAAUUGUCCACAGCCUGCUCAGAUUGCGCAAUUGUUUCAGUUUGGUAUUAGGAAGUUCUUUGGUGGUUUGUGGAGGCCCUGGAGUCCAGGAUCAUGUCUCAUUGCUAUUUUGAUUACAGAGGCCAUUAGGCUCCGCGAUCGAUGGUUUUACCAGAACCAGACCUGGUCGGAUGCCUGUUCAGAAUACGUACUAUUCCUUCAAGUCCUUCGGUAGAAAACAGUUCGUCAGGAAAAAUACAUAGAGUGAGUGUGAUAACCGAAGAGCUUUGGAAUCUUAGAGAGCAGCGAUUAUCAAUGGGUUCGAUGGAUUUGGGAGCGUUGGAGAAGGGAGACCUGAAUGAUUCCCAGGGAGUGGUAUUGGUGGUGGUGGAUGUGAGCCAGAAUACUUUCAACAGCGCUGUGGUUUGGGCCCUAAGGAAUGUCGCACGCAAGGGCGACGUGCUCCGCAUUGUUGGCGUUCUAACCCAUAUCCUCAAUCCACUGGGAUACAAGUGCCAUGUGGACGAAAAGUCUUGGAUAGGAACAAAUAAGAAGGUCUUAGAGAAUGAGAUUGCCAUUAACCGCGUCAAGCUGCAGAACAUCCCCGAGCUUAGCACCUGGUGCGAGAAGGCCGAGGUGCAGUUGGCGAUCGAUGUGCGCGCGGGUAUUCACCCUAAAAACAUCGUGGUUGAGGAAGCGCGCAUCACGGGUGCAUAUCAUGUCGUUGUAGACCAAACAUUCAAGAAGGAGAGGAAAUUUUUCAUUGACAAUUUGACGUGCUUCGUGAGCCGUGUUCGUUCCUCAGGGGGGGUGGAAAGCAUACGCUCGUUCGCCUUGAGCAAACCCAAGCCGCAGCCAAACAGCAGCGGCUCCACUCCGUUCAACACGCUAAGCACUGCUUUCGUAAGCGCGCAUCCUAGUCUGUCAAAAUUAUCGUUCUCAAGCUCCUCAAUGCACGGAUCGUCGAUGUCAUCCACCUCAUUCAACCACAUUUCGAAAGAAUCAAAUGGCAGAUUGUCAAAGCAAGUUUCUAUGGCCUCCACUGGCACUAGCACUUCCAGUAGCUCGCAUCAUUCCGACACCCAGUCUUGCGACGAUCUUUUUUCCAUCGAUUUCGGGGCACUUGGUGACCGCGACGCCAGUCUGCUUCAUUACUUAGAUACAGAAACACGUGAGUCGAAUGACUCGAACGAGUCGCCCAUUACGAUAUCGGGUUCCUUGAAGGACUCUGCGCCGUUGCCGUUGCCGUUGCCUUGGCUUGGCGCAAGAAAGUGGUUGCUAAAUGACGACAUUCUGAAGAGGUCGAGCAGUCUCCCCGCAAACUCGCAUCCUUCAAAUCUUUCAGGACUCAUAUUGCGCACGGGCUCAGAUAAAAGCAUCACACUCUCUAGAGCGACCUCAACGAUUUCAGGCGGCAGUCCAAUUUCAAGGACGUCCUCAGGACGUGUGGGAAGUGCGCAGGCUGGAAUGCGACAUGCAACAACGACCAAGACAGUGUGGGUAUGGACCAAGAGCAAGGAUGUGAUGACAGCCUCUGUCGAAGGCGGGUGGUCAACAUUUGUUUUCACCCCUGAGACAAAGGGCCUCGCUAAUGAAUGGACAUCUCUUGCGAAAAUUGAUCCUGUCUACCUGGAGAAUGACCAGUUUUUUAACUCGGAGAAGAAGAAAGUGGCUGUUCUUGGACAAGUUUCUUCUGGCGAACAACUCGAGAGCCUUCCCUCAUUAAUAGGCAAAUCUGAGAUCGUGGUGAUGAACGCUCUUGACUGGCAGAUCAUUCCGGCUGAGAAUAUGGUGGCAGCCUUCCAGGACAGUAGAACAGCUCUGUAUGCCACCGCGAGCACUGCCACUGAUGCUCAGGUUUAUCUUGAAGCUCUUGAAAAGGGCACUGAUGGAGUUGUCUUGCAAACUGACGAUAUUUCUGAAGUAUUUGCUCUCAAGGCAUAUUUAAAAGAAAAGAAGGAUUCAUCAACGGGAGUGGCUCUGGUGGAGGCGACAGUCACCCAAAUAGAAUCUGUUGGUAUGGGAGAUCGUGUUUGCGUUGACCUAUGCAAUCUAUUGAACGCUGGAGAGGGUCUCUUGGUGGGAUCUUUUGCAAGAGCUCUCUUCUUGGUGCACUCAGAGUGCUUGGAGAGCAACUACGUGGCUUCCAGACCAUUCCGAGUGAAUGCUGGGCCAGUUCAUGCAUAUGUUGGUAUGGCUGGUGGCCGCACAGCAUACCUUUCUGAGCUCCAUACUGGCAGUCAGGUCAUGGUUGUGGACGCAAUGGGACACUCUCGGACUGCCUUGGUUGGGCGCGUGAAAAUUGAAUCAAGGCCUCUGCUUCUGGUGGUGGUGGAGGUGGAUGGGCAAAAGCAGAGCGUGCUGUUGCAAAAUGCAGAAACUGUCUGUCUCGUUGGACCUGGAGGUGAGAAGGCUUCCAAAGCACUUCCCGUUACGAGUUUAAAAGUAGGAGACAAGAUUCUUUUAAGCUUGCAAGAAGAAGCACGCCACACCGGUAUUCAAAUCCAAGAGUUCCUGGUGGAGAAAUAGCCAUUUUUUUUCCCUCUUUGCGGGAGCAUGCUUUUAUGUUCAUCGCUGAUUGGAGUGAUGGUAGAGCGACAAUUACGUCACUCGAUCAAGGCCAAGCAUUUGACAGGGAGACAUGUAAAAGCUGCGGAAGUGUAAGUUUCUUGCUUAUCUUCCAAGCUCGAGUUAGGCAUCGUUCAUAUGCGGCCAAGAACAGAUCAAAGAGAUGAAGUGACUGCGUUUUACUGCAGAGAUUCUUCAUGAUAUGUACACUUGAAUCUAUUGCGGGGUUCGGUUGUUAUUCGCCCCGUGGCAGAAAGAUUUGUUUCAUUACUCUUCUCAUUCUGAUUUUCUUAAAUCCUGUUUGCGCUUUUGACAUGCACCCAUCCCCUGGAUGAGACAUGCCUCCUUCUAAGCCUAGCCAGACACUGAAAGAAGCGCUGGAGAAGUAGACUUCACAGCAGAAGGACAAGACGAUAGACAGGGCUCAUCUUUGCUGACGAAGACAUCUGGAGGAAAAUUAGCUUUUUGAUUCCUAACGCCUCAGGGAUUACAUAAAUCCUCAUUGUCCGAAGUUGUACCCCAUUGUGUUUAUAGCACAAGCACAAGUAGUGUUCCAUACACCGAUUGUAAACUAGUGAAACCAUUUGAAGACAUUUGAUAACAUUGGAAUAAUGCUACUCAGAGCUCUUUGCCCGAGUUUGCAAGCUGAGAAGCAAUAGCAUCUUCAAACAUGUGAUCACUAUUUUAUAUGUUGUGUAAGAAUUUAUCGUGAUCUUUUCAAGCAACUUUUGUAGUGUACUAGUCACUUUUGCACAACUUAGAAAUGUAAAACAAUUCAGAUCUUCGGAAACAAGUAAUAAACAAACUAAGCAAAAUA